rnacentral:rRNA from 1 species
GUCUUUUAGAAAUUAAUUUAAAGUCUAACCUGCCCACUGAAUGUAUUUAAAUGGCCGCAGUAUUUUAACUGUGCAAAGGUAGCAUAAUCAUUAGUCUUUUAAUUAAAGGCUGGAAUGAAUGGUUGAAUGAAAUAUUAACUGUUUCAUAAAAAUUAAUAAUAAAAUUUUAUUUUUUAGUUAAAAAGCUAAAAUAAAAUUAAAAGACGAGAAGACCCUAUAAAUCUUUAUAUUAUAAUAAUUUUAAUUAUUUAGAUAAAUUAAAUUAUAAUUUUUAAUAAUAUUUUAUUGGGGUGAUAUUAAAAUUUAAUAAACUUUUUAUUUAAAUUAUACUAUAAUUAUUGAAUUAUUGAUCCAUAAAUUAUGAUUAAAAAAUUAAGUUACUUUAGGGAUAACAGCGUAAUUUUUUUAGAGAGUUCAUAUUGAUAAAAAAGAUUGCGACCUCGAUGUUGGAUUAAGAAAUUAUUUUAGGUGCAGUAGCUUAAAUUUAAAGUCUGUUCGACUUUUAAAUUCUUACA